rnacentral:sRNA from 1 species
UUUUUAGUUAUUUUAAAUAAAAUAAAUAAUCCCUCGGUGUACCGCGGGUUAAAAUCUAAUGUAUAUUAUAGUUGAGACUUAAAUACAUUAGGGUGGGUUAA